GACGAACGCUGGCGGCGUGCUUAACACAUGCAAGUCGAACGGAAAGGCCCUGCUUUUGUGGGGUGCUCGAGUGGCGAACGGGUGAGUAACACGUGAGUAACCUGCCCUUGACUUUGGGAUAACUUCAGGAAACUGGGGCUAAUACCGGAUAGGAGCUCCUGCUGCAUGGUGGGGGUUGGAAAGUUUCGGCGGUUGGGGAUGGACUCGCGGCUUAUCAGCUUGUUGGUGGGGUAGUGGCUUACCAAGGCUUUGACGGGUAGCCGGCCUGAGAGGGUGACCGGCCACAUUGGGACUGAGAGACGGCCCAGACUCCUACGGGAGGCAGCAGUGGGGAAUAUUGCACAAUGGGCGGAAGCCUGAUGCAGCAACGCCGCGUGCGGGAUGACGGCCUUCGGGUUGUAAACCGCUUUCGCCUGUGACGAAGCGUGAGUGACGGUAAUGGGUAAAAAAGCACCGGCUAACUACGUG
rnacentral:rRNA from 1 species